GCCUGGGUGGCUCAGUCUGUUAAGUGUCUGACUUCGAUUCAGGUCAUGAUCUCGUGGUUUGUGGGUUCAAGCCCCACAUUGGGUU
rnacentral:tRNA from 1 species